ACUGUUGUUUUUGUCUCCCUCAGGUGGCAACGCUGACCACGUCUAAAUGCAUCGAAUGGAUGGGAGGGGUGGGCUUCACCAAAGACUACCCCAUUGAGAAAUACUACCGGGACUGUAAAAUUGGUACCAUCUACGAGGGCACGACAAACAUCCAGUUGUCCACGAUGGCCAAAUUCAUCGAUAAGGAGUAUGACGUUUAAUAUCAUACCGAAGUGGAGCCGGACAGAUUGCACUCAAGAGACCGCCAUGUUACACUCCCGAUAUCAAUUCUUGCGUCUGUCGCAUGACCUUGCCACAAAGGACUGUCCAGUCGCACCGCAACUGACUGUUACUUUGUCACUUGUAAUGUCCCUUUUUUGCAGUGCUGUUUUGUCACUUUGUACGGAUUUUGCAAUUAUGAUCACCCGGAAAUGUCCGGUAUCUCCCCA